rnacentral:rRNA from 1 species
AGCAGCCGCGGUAAUUCCAGCUCCAAUAGCGUAUAUUAAAGUUGUUGCAGUUAAAAAGCUCGUAGUUGAAUUUCGGGAUCAAUACGUCGGUCGUGCUUCGGUACGUACUGGCGUCAUUGACUUCUCCCUUCUGACGAACCAUGAUGUCAUUAACUUGGUGUCAUGGGAAAUCAGGACUGUUACUUUGAAAAAUUAGAGUGUUUAAAGCAAGCUAACGCUUGAAUACAUUAGCAUGGAAUAAUGAAAUAGGACGUUCGAUCCUAUUUGUUGGUUUCUAGGAUUGACGUAAUGAUUAAUAGGGAUAGUUGGGGGCAUUAGUAUUCAAUUGUCAGAGGUGAAAUUCUUGGAUUUAUUGAAGACUAACUACUGCGGAAGC